AGAGAGAGACAUGCGCGCAUAUCAAUAAGCGGAGGAAAAGAAACUAACAAGGAUUCCCUUAGUAACGGCGAGUGAAGCGGGAAGAGCUCAAAUUUGAAAUCUUCAAGGUUUUACCUUGACGAAUUGUAGUUUAAAGAAGUGUUUUCUGUUGAAGUUUCGGUAAAAGUUCUUUGGAAUAGGACAUCAUAGAGGGUGAGAAUCCCGUAUUUGACCGUUAUUUUCAGCUGUGUGAUACACUUUCAAAGAGUCGGAUUGUUUGGGAAUGCAGUCCAAAAUGGGUGGUAAAUUUCAUCUAAAGCUAAAUAUUGGCGAGAGACCGAUAGCGAACAAGUACCGUGAGGGAAAGAUGAGAAGAACUUUGAAAAGAGAGUUAAACAGUACGUGAAAUUGUCAAAAGGGAAGCGUUUGACACCAGUGUUGUUUUUCCUGAAAAUCAAUUAAAGAACUGUUUAUGCUAAGUUGUUUAGACUUUAUCAGCUAACUGUUUAGUUUUGAGCUUUUCUUUAAUGCACUUUUCAGUUAACAAGUCAACAUCAAUUUCUUUUGCUGUAAAAAAGCUUGAGGAAGGUGGCUUGAGAUUCGUCUUAAGUGUUUAUAGCCUCUCGCCUAUGCAGUCGGAGAGAUUGAGGUCUGCAGCGUAGAUCCUUCGGGGCUAAAUGCAUUUGUGCUAAGUUAUAGCAUUUUAUAGACAACUUGUUGACUAUGAUUUGUCUUGUAGCUUACUCGCUUAUGUUAUUUUACCUACGCUUAGGAUGUUGAAGACUCUACAGAGAUA
rnacentral:rRNA from 1 species